GAUGAACGCUAGCUACAGGCUUAACACAUGCAAGUCGAGGGGUAGCAGGGUAGCAAUACCGCUGACGACCGGCGCACGGGUGAGUAACACGUAUCCAACCUUCCCAUAACUCUGGGACAGCCUUUCGAAAGAAAGAUUAAUACCGGAUGGUACUUUUCAAGGCAUCUUGAGAAAGUUAAAGAUUUAUUGGUUAUGGAUGGGGAUGCGUUCCAUUAGAUAGUUGGUGAGGUAACGGCUCACCAAGUCUUCGAUGGAUAGGGGUUCUGAGAGGAAGGUCCCCCACAUUGGCACUGAGACACGGACCAAACUCCUACGGGAGGCAGCAGUGAGGAAUAUUGGUCAAUGGGCGAGAGCCUGAACCAGCCAAGUAGCGUGAAGGAUGAAGGUCCUAUGGAUUGUAAACUUCUUUUAUAGUAGAAUAAAGUGACCCACGUGUGGGUUUUUGUAUGUAUACUAUGAAUAAGGAUCGGCUAACUCCGUG
rnacentral:rRNA from 1 species